AACAAACACGGCUCAGCGGAGCGUGGCGGCUAACCACGCAGGCAGCAGGAAAGGAGAUGGAGGGGAAACAGAUCAGAGGCUUAGUCGCAGUUUUCCUUCAAGGCGAACCUGAGGGUUGCCUCAAACACCUUUGUAUCAUAAGCCAGCACGCUUGGCUCAACUCUCUGCAGCCAGCAUAGUUUCCUUAACGAGAUACGCACUGUAGUUACAGACAGAGCCGCACAGAUGAUCAAGGUUGGGCCGACUGGCAAGGGCGCCACAGAACAUGGACAGAAAUAUGCUGAACAUUUGACAGCUGAUGUGUGCCAAAUAGGACUAGCAGACUGUAAAGUGUCAGACAUGUAGCUUCGGUGACGAAACCAGAAGCGGAGGAGCAAAUGUUUCCGGCUUGGAAGUGGCAAGCAGACGACAUGUGGGAGCAUGAGGGCGAUUGGAGUCAGGUUGCCGCACCUGACGAGGCACUGAGUGAUGAAACAGGGGAGUGCAUGCUGGGUAAUGCAAUUAGGUUACCAUGCAAGGAAAUGACACACAUUGGCCCGGAACUGAAGAGAUGAAUCAACGAGAUGAAUCAGAAAGGGAUCCCACCAUGCAAUGGUAUUUGCUUGUCAUUGGUGUAGUUAACAAGAGGAUGUAAAGUGCCUCCCUCAUCGCCAUGGAGAUCUAAAGAAUGUGCUUGUGGUCAUGGUGACGAGGGCUGGCUGGGGAAAAGGAUAUGGCGGUUUCCUGCACCUUAGACAAACAACCCCCCCCACCCCCCGCCCCGCUCCAGUGCUAAAUGGCCGGGGUCAGACAGUCAAAACAUAAUUAUCACCCGAUCGCCUGUUGACCUGCUUACCUGACAUUAACCUUGGUCUGCACUAACGGGAGGUGCCGGUUGCCUCAGGGGGGCCAGAUGCUAAUUUGAAGCAGAGUUAGCAGUGAGUAGGCUGGGGGUGUAAUUGCAGCGAUCUAAUAGGGAUCAGUGCCGUGGGAGAUCUCCGUACAUCUGUCGUCUGGCGAAGAACCGCUGCACCUGAGACUCACCAGCUUGGCAGUGCUCACGCUCCACUGUGGGAUUUCAAGAGAGAUGAAGGGUUUCACGGUGAGACUACUGGCAGUCGUGCGGUUCCGUGUUUGAAGAACCUGUCACCUGUCCCGGAUAGACUGAAAAGACAAACCGUUAUAUGGGUACACUACAGGAAAUGAGACAAAAGAGCAUUUAAAUCUUUUUCCACAAUGCCAAUUUUGAACUUCUAAAAUCACACAAAUACAUAGAUAUCCCAAUAUUUAAAUAUUUUCUUCUUGAGCAACUUGAAUGUAAUGUAGAUUGGAAAUUGUCUUUUUAUGCAAAGACAAACCUCCCAAGCACAAUUGGGGAGAACAAAGAUGUAUUUUUGUUAUCGUGUCGCUUUUGUUUCACUACUCAUCAAAAGUCAUAAAUACACUAUUAAUUCUGUU